rnacentral:rRNA from 1 species
UUUUUAAAUAAUUAUUAAUUAAUUAUUUUUUAAAUAUAAGUUUUUUUAGUAUUUAAAUAAUUUUUUUUAUAAUAAUUUACUAUUACUGUGGAGGAAUUUUGAAAUAAUUGAAAUAUAUAUAAUAAUAAAAGAAGAAUUAAUUUUUUGUACCUUGUGUAUCAGGGUUUAUAAAUUAUUUAUUAUAGAUUUUAUUGGUCCCGAAUUUGAAUGAGCUAAGAAGUUAUUUAUUUUAAUGUUGAAAAAUUAUUUAAAAUAAUUUUUUAGAGGUGAAAUGUUAUUCGUAUUCAAUUAUAUCUGGUUUUUUUAGAAAAAAAUUUAAUUUUAUCAAUUUUUUCUAUUUUAUUAUUUUUAUAAAGUAUGUAAUUAAUUGUUUUAUAUUUUAAGGGAUUAUCUUUAAUUUAUAUAUUUAUAAAUUUUAAUUUAUUAAUGUGAUUUGUAGGAUUAGAAAUUUUUAUCAAAAAAUUUGUUUUAAUUUUUCAUAUAAUUAUUUAUUAAUUUUUAAUUUUUUAAGUUUUCUAUAAAAAUAUUUCUUUAAAUUUGAUUGGAAAGUAAUAAUGAUAUAAUUAGUAAAUAAGAGUUUAUGUUUAAAGGUUAAAUUAAAUUUGAAUUAAAGGAACUCGGCAAAUUUAGUUUCUGCCUGUUUAUUAAAAACAUGUCCUUUUGUGUAUUAUUUAAGGUCUGAUCUGCCCAAUGAUUAAUUAAAUGGCCGCGAUAUUUUGAUCGUGCGAAGGUAGCAUAAUCAUUAGUUUUUUAAUUGAAAGCUGGUAUGAAGGAUUUGACAAGAAACAAUCUGUCUCUAUUUUAUGUGUUGAAUUUUAUUUUUGAGUAAAAAAGCUUAAAUUGUUUUAUAAGACGAGAAGACCCUAUAGAGUUUAAUAUUUAAAAUUUUUAUUUAUUAUAUAGAAUUUGAAUUUUAAAAAUUUUAAUUAUUUAGUUGGGGUGACGGAAAAAUUAAUAGAACUUUUUCUUUUUAAAAUAUAGAUUUAUAGAAUUUUGACUUAUAGGAUUAGUUAGAAGAUUAAAUUACCUUAGGGAUAACAGCGUUAUUCUUUUUUAGAGUUCAAAUCGAAAAAAGAGAUUGCGACCUCGAUGUUGGAUUAAAGUUAAAAAUUGGUGUAGAAGCUAAUAUUUUUAGUCUGUUCGACUAUUAAAACUUUACAUGAUCUGAGUUUAAACCGGCGUGAGCCAGGUUGGUUUCUAUCUUUAAUAUUUUAAAAUAUUUUAGUACGAAAGGACCAAAUAUUUCUUAAAUUAAUUUAUUUUUGAUUAGUAAU